rnacentral:rRNA from 1 species
UACGGAGGGCGCGAGCGUUAAUCGGAAUUACUGGGCGUAAAGCGUGCGUAGGCGGCUUAGUUAGUCAGCCGUGAAAGCCCCGGGCUCAACCUGGGAAUUGCGGUUGAGACGGCUAGGCUCGAGUGGGCUAGAGGAUCGUGGAACUCCGGGUGUAGCGGUGAAAUGCGUAGAGAUCCGGAGGAACACCGAUGGCGAAGGCAGCGAUCUGGGGCCAUACUGACGCUGAGGCACGAAAGCGUGGGGAGCAAACAGG